ACAGACAUCCACACAUGCACAGACAUCCACAAACAGACAUCCACACAUCCACAGACAUCCACACAUCCACAGACAUCCACACAUCCACAUCCAGACAUCCACACAUCCACAUCCACACAUCCACAAACAGACAUCCACACAUCCACAAACAGACAUCCACAAACAGACAUCCACAAACCCACAGACAUCCACAAACCCACAGACAUCCACAGACAUCCACAAACCCACAGACAUCCACACAUCCACAAACCCACAGACAUCCACACAUCCACAAACCCACAGACAUCCACACAUCCACAAACAUCCACAGACAUCCACAAACAGACAUCCACAAACAGACAUCCACAAACAGACAUCCACAAACAGACAUCCACA